CCUACGGGGGGCAGCAGUGAGGAAUAUUGGUCAAUGGACGAGAGUCUGAACCAGCCAAGUAGCGUGAAGGAUGACUGCCCUAUGGGUUGUAAACUUCUUUUAUAUGGGAAUAAAACGUUCCACGUGUGGGAUUUUGUAUGUACCAUAUGAAUAAGGAUCGGCUAACUCCGUGCCAGCAGCCGCGGUAAUACGGAGGAUCCGAGCGUUAUCCGGAUUUAUUGGGUUUAAAGGGAGCGUAGGUGGAUUGUUAAGUCAGUUGUGAAAGUUUGCGGCUCAACCGUAAAAUUGCAGUUGAAACUGGCAGUCUUGAGGACAGUAGAGGUGGGCGGAAUUCGUGGUGUAGCGGUGAAAUGCUUAGAUAUCACGAAGAACUCCGAUUGCGAAGGCAGUUCACUGGACUGCAACUGACACUGAGGCUCGAAAGUGUGGGUAUCAAACAGGAUUAGAUACCCCUGUAGUC
rnacentral:rRNA from 1 species